rnacentral:rRNA from 1 species
UACGUAGGUGGCAAGCGUUGUCCGGAUUUACUGGGCGUAAAGCGUAUGCAGGCGGGUUCUUAAGUAGGAAGUGAAAGGUUGGAGCUCAACUCUAACACGGCUCCCUAUACUGGGAAUCUUGAGUGCCGGAGAGGAAGACGGAACGACACGUGUAGCGGUGAAAUGCGUUGAGAUGUGUCGGGACACCAAUGGCGAAAGCAGUCUUCUGGACGGAUACUGACGCUGAGAUACGAAAGCCAAGGUAGCAAACAGG